AUAUAUAUAUAUAUAUAUAUAUAUAUAGAUAGAUAGAUAGAUAGAUAGAUAGAUAGAUAGAUAGAUAGAUAGAUAGAUAGUAAUAAAAUAAUAAUACAUGAUAACAUUUGAGUAAUACCAACUUGUCCAGUCGUCAUUGACUCAAAGACUACCCAUUUACUAGUGGAAUAGUUUACGCUAUUUUAGGAAAAUUUAUGUUUAAUAUAGUCAUUCUAUUCGUGCUCUCUAUAGUAGUAACUAGAUAUAACAGUACGGGCAGGCCGAAUAUAUAUAAUUUAGUUAUUUUAAUUUAUGUGAAACAGAUAACAUUACAAUAGUUUCAAGUUUUUUUAUUGUUUAUUAUUUUUAUUAUGUUUUUAAGUACUUUUCCAAUAAUAUCUUUGGCACAUGUGAUAUUUAGGGGGUGAAAUUUUUUUUAAUAUAUUUUAAAAAAAUAUUAUAAGUUGUUAAUUAUUAUGAUUUAUGUGUCACAUGUAAAUUUGUGAGAGAACGAAAUUUUAAUUAUAUUUUUAAUACAAUAUUUCAAGUAUGUAAUUUUAAAUUCUACAUGUUAUUUCCCUGUCCGAAUUAAUAUGGUACAUAUUAAAUUGUGAGAUUUAAUUGAAAAAAUUUAUAUGCUUUUAAAUAUUUUAAAUUGUGAUUAAUAGUACUCUUAAUGUAACAAUAUAUUUUACUCCCUUUGUGUUAAUUUAUGUGGCAUAUGUGAAAUUUGUAGAGUUAACCACAUUUUAAUAAGAUUUUUAAAUAUUUUAAGUCGUUAAUUAUUGUAUUUUAUAGUAUUCUUAAUGUGAUUUACAAAUAAUACAUGGUAUUCUCUCAGUCCUAAUUAUGUCGUACAUGAAAUUUUGAAAGGUAAUUAAAAUUGUAAUAUUUUAAGCUAGUUUUUAGUACUAUUAUUAUAAAUACAUAGUAUAUUAAAAAAAAAGUAAAGAUAAAAUAGAUUAAAUACAAUACUAAAUAGAAGAAGUUUAGGAGAAGGGCAAACCAGUCAAUUGACCGGCUGAACCUAAGCUCCUCAACAUUAGCUUGUAUAAUAUCAUUUUCGAUGUAUGAAAUUACUAGAGUUAAUAAAAUUUUAAUAUGAGUUUCAAAUAUUUUAAGUUGUUAAUUAUUGUAAUUUAUAGAAUUCUUAAUGUGAUUUUCAAAUAAAAAUGGCACUCUCAAUCUUAUUAUGUCGUAUCUGUAAAAUUUAGAGAUGUCAUUAAAUUUGCAAUAUUUUAAAUUAAUUUUUACUAAUAUUAUUAUAAAUACAUAGUAGGUAAAAAUAAAUAUUUAAAUAAAUUAAAUUAAAAUAAAUAAAAUACAAAAUAUAAUUAGAAAAAGUUGAGGAGAAGGGCAAAUUGGUCAAUUGACCAGCUGAUCCUAACCUCCUCAACAUUCACUUCUAUAAUAUAGUUAUAGUUAUAUAAGAAGUUUUAAAUUAAUUUUUUAAUGAUUCACGACUAAAAAACAACGGAUAUAAAAGUGUUGUCUGUCGGUUUUUCUAAAAAAUAUUUUUUUUUUUAAAAGUGGCGAACGACCUUUUGAGCCAAAUAUAUAGAAUAAAUAAUAAAUUAUUCUAUACAUAUAGUCUAUAUAUUUUUAUUUUAAAUAAUUAUUUACAAAUUAAGAAAAAAGUCAUGUUGUUCAUCGCUUUUUAUUAAUUUUAAUUGUUUAAUUGUUUCUUAAAUAAGUGACGGAUAGCAUCUUUAAGUCCGUCUCUUCUUGGACAAAAUAUCUGGUCAAUUAUUUUUAAAAAGCGACGGAGAAUGUCUCUUUGUCCGUCUCUUUUUGGUCAAAAAUUUAUUCAAGUAUCUUUAAAAUAAAAGCGACGGACAUGGAGACGUUGUCCGUUACUUUUCAUUAAAUAUCUGAUAGACCAAUCGGGUUUUCCUCAUUUCCCCCUCUCUCUCAACCCUUAUUCUGUCCCCAUUCCUUCUAUCGAUUUUCCCCGUCGCUGCCCUUCUCCGUCCCGUCCCCGUCCCUGCCCUUGCAGUGUGUCCUAUCACCGUUGUCGUUCGCCGUUCGCUCCCUCUCAUAUUUGUUAAGGUAACUAAGGAAGCUCAACAUCUAAAAAAUUUGAUACAAGACUAUAUUUCUUCUUUCAUCAAAGUAAGAGAUAAGGUGGAUCAUCGUUUGAUGGAUGUAUAAUAUGCAUUAUGAAACUAGUGUGGAUUUGAAACCCGAGUUAAUUGACGAUGUUAGAGAUUUUAUUGGACAUACAAUGACAUUUGACAUUUUCAAGAAUAAUGGAUUGGUCAGGUGUCCUUGAAGUGCAUAUGGCAUCAAGCGGUGACAAUGAUAGACAUCACGAGUAUCUUACAGUUAGCGAGACUAAACAGGUCAAAGAGAAGAAGUCUAUAUUUGAGGAUACUGCUGGAUCUAUUUCUUUUCUGCCAAAGUAAAUCAAUCAUGAUACACAUGUAUUUGAUGUUCUAUUUGGUACGACGGAUCCUCAAGGAUAUUAUCCUAAUUUCCGUUGAUCAGUUAAUGCUUCCUCUACUUCACAGGCAUUGUCUCAGUACGCUACGAGGACCUACCUUUACAGGAUAUUUGUCGAGAGGACCCUUAUCGACAGGUACUCCAUCUCCCACAAGUACUCCAUAUUCUACAUGUACAUCUCCUGAGUUAUUUGCCAUGUGGAUUAGAGAUUCUAAAAGUGAGUUGUCAAAUUCUAUGACCGGUACGCCUCCAUUGACUCAGUGUUAUGAGUAUGUAUCAGCCUCAGCAACAACUACACCUAGUACUACUCUAGAUGAUGAGAGGUCUCCUCUAGUUCCUGGCUAGAAAGACAGACUUGGUAGAGUCAUGAUUGAACCAGAUGGAUUAUCGUGGCAUCCGACAAAGAAUCUUGUCGUGGCUUUGAACUAAAGUGUUAGGAUACUCUAUACACAUGCUUAUCCCUCUUGGCUGAGAUCCUAAAAAGUAUACACCACAUAAUGUUUAAUAACUUUAAGACUAUGUUUAUUUGAAAGUGGAGACACAAUCAAGUCAUUUCGACCACAUUUGAAAGAAAGGCAUCCGUUAGACUGUCUGCUUGCCUAAAUAAAGUUCAGGAUGAUGUUGAAUAUCCGGAUUGGAUGAUGCCGCAUGUCCAUGAUGAACUAGGUCUAUUUUGAAACACAGACAAAUUUCAGGCAAUAUCAAACCAAGCCAAAAAGGCUAAAGGAACUCUUAAAGGUGGCUCGUUGCACACCGGAGGUGCAAAGUACGUGAAACAAUUGUAAGAGAGAUGGGAGAUACACAAGGGUAGAGUCAAUGGUCUAGGUACUCUGAACGAUGUAAGACGGCUCCAGUCAGGCUUACAAGGAAUUGGAUCGUCUAGUCAAGUCGAGGCCCUUGAUGGUGUUCAGAAUUUUGCUAUGUUGAUCAAAUAGUUAAAUUUACAGCGGCAUUUGCAGAGUCGGAGCAGUAAAGAGCAGCUGAGCAAGAAAGCAUGAGUGCAACUGUUUAUCAAAUUAAAGAAAAAGUAAUGAACCUCUCUUGUGGACCUACUACAUCGGCUUUCGAUGAUGUCUACGACGACACUUCUGAUGAUGACGAUGACUGUGUAGGAGCCACUCCCUAGCAAGUUUACAUUUGUGGACAAUUAUGGUGUUUUUGUAAAUUUGAACAUAUUUUGAACCAAAUUUUGAAAGACUUUAUACGGCAUUAAAUUUUGAUUUA